GCGGAUAUGGCGGAAUUGGCAGACGCGCUGGUUUUAGGUACCAGUGAGCAAUCGUGCAGGUUCAAGUCCUGUUAUCCGCA
rnacentral:tRNA from 8 species